rnacentral:rRNA from 1 species
CCAAUAGCGUAUAUUAGUGUUGUUGCGGUUAAAAAGCUCGUAGUUGAAUUUCGGGAUUGGGAUAUAUCGGUCAUGCCUUUAGGGGCAUGAAUCGGUGUGUAGCCAAUUUCUCACCUUCUGGUGAAUUGGGAUGCUCUUGGGUGUUUCAAUGAACUAGGACUUUUACUUUGAAAAAAAUAUAGUGUUUAAAGCGGGCAUUUUUGCUUGAAUACAUUAGCAUGGAAUAAUAAAAUAGGACGAUGGUUCUAUUUUGUUGGUUUUAGGACCACGUAAUGAUUAAUAGGGAUAGUUGGGGGCAUUAGUAUUCAAUUGUCAGAGGUGAAAUUCUUGGAUUUAUUGAGGACUAACUACUGCGAAAGCAUUUGCCAAGGAUGUUUUCAUUAAUCAAGAACGAAAGUUAGGGGAUCAAAGACGAUUUAUGUACGUCGUAGUCUUAACCAUAAACUAUGCCGACUAGGAAUCAGACAAAGUUCAUUUUUUAACGACUUGUUUGGUACCUUACG